UUUCCGUAGGUGAACCUGCGGAAGGAUCAUUAUUGUAUAACCGAGGUGCGAGGGCUGUCGCUGACCCGAAAGGUCGUGCACGCCCGAGUGCCCUCACACACAUCCAUCUCACCCCUAUGUGCACCACCGCGUGGGUCCCCCUUUGGCUUGUUCGGAGGGGGGCUUACGUUUUCACACAAACUUUGUAUGCAGUGUAGAAUGUAUUUUUUGUUUUUGCGAUCACGCAAUCAAUACAACUUUCAACAACGGAUCUCUUGGCUCUCGCAUCUAUUAAAAAC
rnacentral:misc_RNA from 1 species